rnacentral:tRNA from 1 species
GCCUGGGUGGCUCAGUCGGUUAAGCAUCUGACUUCAGCUCAGGUCAUGAUCUUACGGUUUGUGAGUUUGAGCCCCACAUCGGGCU